ACUUUUUAUGACUCACCCAUAAGUUACAGCUAUUUAUGUCGUCUCCAUAUUCACCUAUUAAAUUUAACAUUUUUCUUAACAUUUUUAUUAACAUUUUUCUUAACAUUUUUCUUUUUUUUUUGUUACUUACACAACGUAGCCGAUUUGGUUUACUUGUAUUUAAAAAUAAAAACACACGUAAAUGCAUACUUAUAAAUAUAUACACAAUUGAUAUAUAUAUAUGGAUAAGUAUAACCACCAUGGCUAAGAAAAGUCGUAAAAAUAAAAGAAGAAUCACUUCUCUAAACGAAUUGUAUGAGCUAGAGUAUGUGAAAAAAGAAAAAAAAAAAAAACUGAAAGCUCUUCAUUCAGCUAUUAACAAUGCUAAUAUACCAACAAAGGAAAAGGAAGCAACAAAAACAACAUCAAAAACUACAAAAGAAAAAGGAGUUGAUAACAUUUUAUUAAAAAAAUAUUCAAAGUUACAAAGAUUAGAAAAAGUUAAAAAAAAUGAUGAUAAAAAAACAAAUUCAAGUAAAAAAAACACAGACAGCAACAAAAUGUCAGCAUAUGAAACUUUUUUACAUAUGUUAAAAAAAAAAAAAGAAAAUGAAAAAAAUGCGAAAAAUGGGAAAAAUGGGGAAAAUGAAAAAAAUGCGAAAAAUGAGCACAAUGGACAUAAGAAUUUAAAAAACAAUUUAAGCGACAAAAGCAUUGAUGAUAAUUCUUUUACAAUGACAAAAAAAAAUGACAAAGUAGGUGGUAUCGAAGGCACAGUAGAACAAAAUUCAUUAUGCCAAAAUAAACAAAUGGAUAAAAAUCAAAACGACAAAAACGAAGAAAAAGUAAACACAAAAAAGGGUUUUUUAUGCAAUAAUGAUGAAAUAUAUAUAUCGAUAUUAACAACUAACGUAAAAAACCAAAAAGAAUAUUAUAUUCAACGCUUUAACACAAAUGACACUUUUUUUAAUUCUCACGAUGUUGAUAGUGGCGAUAAUAGUAAUGUACAUACAAACGAAAACGACAAUUUCGGAAAAAAUGAUAACAGUUUAUAUUCUAAUAAUUAUUACUUAACAAAAUAUAAUCCAAUAAAUAUUUAUAAAAACUACCUGAACGAUUCAUAUAAAUUAAACCAAAACAAAUUAGAUUUUUAUUUUACUUUUUGUCACUCUGUAAAUGAAAAAUUUAUUCAGCUAUUUUGUGAAAAAAAAUCAAAUAACAUAAACAAAGUGAAUGAUAAAAAAUCAAAUAGUAAAAAAAGUAUUCAAAAUGUAUAUAUUAAUUCCAAUUUAUUUUUAGAAACGAAUAUUUUUAAAAAAAAGGAAAGCAACCAGGUGAUCCCAAAUAAUACUAAUUGUAUACAAAACAGUACUCUGAGUAACACAGACACAAGUCAAUAUGAUGAUGAUACAUACUCAAAUAAUUAUUUUUUUAAUAAUAUUAUAGUUAAACCACAUUUCUUUUCUGAAUACACAGAAAAAAAUGUAGUUACUUAUUAUCUAAUCAAUAUCUUGGAUACUAUACCUCAAAAUAUUUUAUCAGAUAAUAAUAUAUAUAAUAUUUUAAAACCAUUAGUAUCAAAUUUAAAAAAUUAUUUAUGCACAUUUAAACACCCACUUGCAUAUUUUGAUAAAUCAAUUUAUACAUAUAUGCAAAGAUAUUAUGAAAUGCAAACUAAGAAAACUAAAAUUAAGGACACAAUUAAUAACAAUGUCACAGAAGAAAAUACAAACAACACAAACAACACAAAUAACACAAACAA
rnacentral:lncRNA from 1 species